CGGUGUACAUCUAUCCUUGCAAGUGUGUUUGCAGCAGGUAUAUGUGAUCUUGUCACUUUUGCUAGAUCAUUAAAAGCAUCUGGCAUACUUUGAGCAAUGCUCUGAAGAUCUAUAAUUCGUCGUACUUCAGUUUCAGACUGAGCAGUGCGAGGAUCUAGAUGAGACAUAGUGGGAGCAUACCAUGACAAUUCACGGUGUUCUCAAGGAAUGUUAGAAUGUUUAUCUCCCCCUAACAACUAGAAGACUGUCUCGUCAAAGUGACAAUUCGCAAAUCGUGCGGUAAAGAGAUUUCCUAUCAAGGGUUCUAAAUAGCGAACAAUUAAUGGUGAAUCAUAACUGACAUAGAUUCCCAUUUUUCUCUGAGGACCCAUUGUGGUACAUAGUGACAGCACUAUUGGCAUAAAAAUGGCGCACCCAAACACCCGUAAAUGCGAGACGUCAUGCUCGUAUCUAAUGAUCAACUGUAAUGGUGAAUGUGGUUGGGUAACGGUGGGCCUCAGGCUGACCAGCAUUGCGUGCAAUAUUGUAUAGCCCUAGGUAGAUAUCGACAGUUUGGUUCAUAACCAAAGUCUGAGCUAUCAGUUGAAGGCACUUUAUGAAAACUUCUACCAAACAACUAACUUUCCCACUAGACAUACCUAGAAAGAAAUUGAUUGAAUUGGUCACAUGCAUAAAUAUAAUUCCAUUCAUUCAAUUAAGCAAAUCGAGAAAUAAUAUCCAUCACAUAACAAUCCAUAAUUCCAAAAAAAACCAAAACCAAACAAAUUAUUCCAAAGACUUAGAAAAAUUGUUCAAAAUUAAGCCAUUAACCUAGAAAAAUAGGGGGCAAAGGCCAGCCACUCCUAGUGGGUUCGACCACUAGGGGUAAACACCCUAAAAACAUGUCUAAUUUAUUCAUCCAUAGGAGCUGACACCUCCUAAAAAUUUGAUAUCUCCAUUGAUGUAGUAGCAUCUUCCAGAUGAUUCACAUGUGCAAAGUUUGACUCACGACGGGAAUGAUAUUUAGCAAUAGUUUCAGGGGUAGCUCGGCAUACAUGUGACCAAUGAUCCCUUGAUCCAUAAUGAUAGCACAUGUCCAUUUCGGUGGAAGCUGACUAAACGGGAGCUUUUCC
rnacentral:lncRNA from 1 species